rnacentral:lncRNA from 1 species
GGGUGUGGCAGGGCGGGUCUACGGAGGCCUCUUUAGGCCACAGAGCAACGUAAAGCCUAGGCCUGCAGAGACUGCUCAGUCACAGUUGAAGGAGACCUACUGAGUCCUGAGGACAACCAACAAAGGCCUUAACGGCACAGAAGGAAGUCCUGUCUUCUGGGAUUGAGUUUGGUUGUGACAUCAGAAAGUUGAUAGACGUGAUCGCUAAGAAUCUUGCCGAAUAUUCUAGGACUACAAGUAAAAGAGACCCUAUUUUCUGUGCUGGGAAAAGAAGUCCCACCAGUG